rnacentral:lncRNA from 1 species
ACGGACAGGUGAACUCCCGAAGUACUGCCCAUGCGGAUACAUGUCGUCCUUUGGUAUGCCAUUGGGUGGUUAGAUGGACUCGGCCUACGUGGUUUGGCUUUGUCUUCGUUUGUGGCUAACGAUUUUAAUGUUCUGGUAUGGCGCGUUUUGAUUUGCCUCUCUGCUCUGCGGGCUACUGAGGUGGUAAUAUUUGUACACCACAUGCCGCCCUCGUUUUAGUUUUUUCCAACCAUAGUGGAGCUCAUUAGUGGACAUCG